rnacentral:rRNA from 1 species
CUACGUGCCAGCAGCCGCGGUAAUACGUAUGUCACAAGCGUUAUCCGGAUUUAUUGGGCGUAAAGCGCGUCUAGGUGGUUAUGUAAGUCUGAUGUGAAAAUGCAGGGCUCAACUCUGUAUUGCGUUGGAAACUGUAUGACUAGAGUACUGGAGAGGUAAGCGGAACUACAAGUGUAGAGGUGAAAUUCGUAGAUAUUUGUAGGAAUGCCGAUGGGGAAGCCAGCUUACUGGACAGAUACUGACGCUAAAGCGCGAAAGCGUGGGUAGCAAACAGGAUUAGAUACCCUGGUAGUCCACGCCGUAAACGAUGAUUACUAGGUGUUGGGGGUCGAACCUCAGCGCCCAAGCUAACGCGAUAAGUAAUCCGCCUGGGGAGUACGUACGCAAGUAUGAAACUCAAAGGAAUUGACGGGGGCCCGCACAAGCGGUGGAGCAUGUGGUUUAAUUCGACGCAACGCGAGGAACCUUACCAGCGUUUGACAUC